UUCUGCUCUCUGUCAGCCUGUGCUGUUAGGUGUCCCCAGGAAACCCACGCGUCUUCUGCGGACAGACCUGGCUCGAGAACAGCCCACACUCUUGACCAUCACCGAGCAAGCAUACCCGCCCUUAAGGCUGGAGUGAAGUGGGAGGAGCCGG
rnacentral:lncRNA from 9 species